rnacentral:rRNA from 1 species
AGUGAACGCUGGCGGUGUGCCUAACACAUGCAAGUCGAGCGGCAACACAAUGAGAGCUUGCUCUUACGGUUAGCGAGUGGCGGGCGGGUAAGGCGUAGAUCGGAAUCUACUUUUUCGUGGGUGAUAACGUAGGAAAACUGACGCUAAUACCUCAUACAACCUACGGGUUGAAUCAGUAGAUCUUCGCACCUUUCGCGAUUGUAUUAGCCGAUUUCGGAUUGGCUAGUUGGCUUGGUAAGGUCCCAACAAAGCGACGAUACGUUGCUUGUCUGAGAUGAGGAUGAGGCACAAUGGAAAUGAGAACAGGUCCAGAACCCUACGGGAGGCAGCAGUGGGGAAUAUUGGACAAUGGGCGAAAGCCUGAUCCAGCAAUACCGCGUGGGUGAAGAAGGUCUUCGGGUCGUAAAGCCCUUUUGUUGGGAAAGAACAGAAGCAGGUUAAUACACCGCUGUUCUGACGGUACCCAAAGAAUAAGCACCGGCUAACUUCGUG